CCUACGGGGCGCAGCAGUAGGGAAUAUUGCUCAAUGGGGGAAACCCUGAAGCAGCAACGCCGCGUGGAGGAUGAAGGUUUUCGGGUUGUAAACUUCUUUUAAGAGGGAAGAGUAGAAGACGGUACCUCUUGAAUAAGCCACGGCUAACUACGUGCCAGCAGCCGCGGUAAUACGUAGGUGGCAAGCGUUGUCCGGAUUUACUGGGUGUAAAGGGCGUGUAGCCGGGCCGGCAAGUCAGAUGUGAAAUCCCAAGGCUCAACCUUGGAACUGCAUUUGAAACUGUUGGUCUUGAGUAUCGGAGAGGC
rnacentral:rRNA from 1 species